CAGCAGCCGCGGUAAUACAGAGGGUGCGAGCUUUAAUCGGAUUUACUGGGCGUAAAGCGUGCGUAGGCGGCUUCUUAAGUCGGAUGUGAAAUCCCUGAGCUUAACUUAGGAAUUGCAUUCGAUACUGGGAAGCUAGAGUAUGGGAGAGGAUGGUAGAAUUCCAGGUGUAGCGGUGAAAUGCGUAGAGAUCUGGAGGAAUACCGAUGGCGAAGGCAGCCAUCUGGCCUAAUACUGACGCUGAGGUACGAAAGCAUGGGGAGCAAACAGGAUUAGAUACCCCUGUAGUCCCUGUCUCUUAUAC
rnacentral:rRNA from 1 species